UACGGGGGGGGCAAGCGUUGUUCGGAAUUACUGGGCGUAAAGGGCUUGUUGGUGGCCAACUAAGUCAGACGUGAAAUCCCUCGGCUUAACCGGGGAACUGCGUCUGAUACUGGAUGGCUUGAGUUUGGGAGAGGGAUGCGGAAUUCCAGGUGUAGCGGUGAAAUGCGUAGAUAUCUGGAGGAACACCGGUGGCGAAGGCGGCAUCCUGGACCAAUACUGACACUGAAAAGCGAAAGCCAGGGGAGCAAACGGG
rnacentral:rRNA from 1 species